rnacentral:tRNA from 1 species
AGACGGCUAGUCCAAAAAAAACAUUUGAUUUCGGCUCAAAAGAUUGUGGUUCAAAUCCACAGCCAUCUC